UGCUUCAUAACAGGUCUCAGACUACUGUGU
rnacentral:piRNA from 1 species